GGGCGCGUGGUUUAGGGGUAUAACGUUCGCUUCGCAUGUUCAGUACAACAUAUGAUGUGAAAGGUCCGGGGUUCAAUUCCCCGCGUGUCCA